rnacentral:rRNA from 1 species
CUACGGGGUGCUGCAGUGGGGAAUAUUGCACAAUGGAGGAAACUCUGAUGCAGCAACGCCGCGUGGAGGAUGACACUUUUCGGAGCGUAAACUCCUUUUAUAUAGGAAGAAGAUGACGGUACUAUAUGAAUAAGCGCCGGCUAACUCCGUGCCAGCAGCCGCGGUAAUACGGAGGGCGCAAGCGUUACUCGGAAUCACUGGGCGUAAAGAGCGUGUAGGCGGAUUAAAAAGUCAGAAGUGAAAUCCUAUAGCUUAACUAUAGAACUGCUUCUGAAACUCUUAAUCUAGAAUAUGGGAGAGGUAGAUGGAAUUUCUGGUGUAGGGGUAAGAUCCGUAGAGAUCAGAAGGGAUACCGAUUGCGAAGGCGAUCUACUAGAACAUUAUUGACGCUGAGACGCGAAAGCGUGGGGAGCAAACAGGAUUAGAUACCCGUGUAGUC